ACAUGCAAGUCGAGCGGAAAGGCCCUUCGGGGUACUCGAGCGGCGAACGGGUGAGUAACACGUGAGCAACCUGCCCCUGACUCUGGGAUAAGCCCGGGAAACUGGGUCUAAUACCGGAUACGACCGCCCCCGGCAUCGGGUGGUGGUGGAAAGUUUUUCGGUUGGGGAUGGGCUCGCGGCCUAUCAGCUUGUUGGUGGGGUAGUGGCCUACCAAGGCGACGACGGGUAGCCGGCCUGAGAGGGCGACCGGCCACACUGGGACUGAGACACGGCCCAGACUCCUACGGGAGGCAGCAGUGGGGAAUAUUGCGCAAUGGGCGGAAGCCUGACGCAGCGACGCCGCGUGGGGGAUGACGGCCUUCGGGUUGUAAACCUCUUUCAGCAGGGACGAAGUUGACGUGUACCUGCAGAAGAAGCGCCGGCUAACUACGUGCCAGCAGCCGCGGUAAUACGUAGGGCGCAAGCGUUGUCCGGAAUUAUUGGGCGUAAAGAGCUCGUAGGUGGCUGGUCGCGUCUGCCGUGAAAGCCCGCAGCUUAACUGCGGGUCUGCGGUGGAUACGGGCCGGCUAGAGGUAGGUAGGGGCAAGUGGAAUUCCUGGUGUAGCGGUGAAAUGCGCAGAUAUCAGGAGGAACACCGGUGGCGAAGGCGGCUUGCUGGGCCUUACCUGACGCUGAGGAGCGAAAGCGUGGGGAGCG
rnacentral:rRNA from 1 species